AUUGAACGCUGGCGGCAUGCCUUACACAUGCAAGUCGAACGGUAACAGGUCUUCGGAUGCUGACGAGUGGCGAACGGGGGAGUAAUGCAUCGGAACGUGCCUAGUAGUGGGGGAUAACUACUCGAAAGAGUGGCUAAUACCGCAUGAGAUCUACGGAUGAAAGCAGGGGAUCGCAAGACCUUGCGCUACUAGAGCGGCCGAUGGCAGAUUAGGUAGUUGGUGGGAUAAAAGCUUACCAAGCCGACGAUCUGUAGCUGGUCUGAGAGGACGAUCAGCCACACUGGGACUGAGACACGGCCCAGACUCCUACGGGAGGCAGCAGUGGGGAAUUUUGGACAAUGGACGCAAGUCUGAUCCAGCAAUGCCGCGUGCAGGACGAAGGCCUUCGGGUUGUAAACUGCUUUUGUACGGAACGAAACGGUGAGCUCUAAUACAGUUUGCUAAUGACGGUACCGUAAGAAUAAGCACCGGCUAACUACGUGCCAGCCGCCGCAGUAAAAC
rnacentral:rRNA from 1 species